CACGAACGCUGGCGGCAGGCUUAACACAUGCAAGUCGAGCGCCCCGCAAGGGGAGCGGCAGACGGGUGAGUAACGCGUGGGAAUCUACCCAUCUCUACGGAAUAACGCAUGGAAACGUGUGCUAAUACCGUAUACGUCCUUCGGGAGAAAGAUUUAUCGGAGAUGGAUGAGCCCGCGUUGGAUUAGCUAGUUGGUGGGGUAAAGGCCUACCAAGGCGACGAUCCAUAGCUGGGCUGAGAGGAUGAUCAGCCACACUGGGACUGAGACACGGCCCAGACUCCUACGGGAGGCAGCAGGGGGGAAUAUUGGACAAUGGGCGCGAGCCGGAUCCAGCCAUGCCGCGUGAGUGAUGAAGGCCCUAGGGUUGUAAAGCUCUUUCACCGGUGAAGAUAAUGACGGUAACCGGAGAAGAAGCCCCGGCUAACUUCGUGCCAGCCGCCGCAGUAAAAC
rnacentral:rRNA from 1 species